GAUGAACGCUGGCGGCGUGCCUAAUACAUGCAAGUCGAGCGAAGCGGGGACGGGUGAGUAACACGUGGAUAACCUCCUAUAAGACUGGGAUAACUUCGGGCAAACGGAGCUAAACCGGAUAAUUAUAGAUGGAUCUGCGCUGCAUUAGCUAGUUGGUAAGGUAACAGAUUAACAAGGCAACAAUGCAUCACCGACCUGAGAGGGUGAUAGGACACACGUGAACCGAGACACGGUCCAGACUCCUACGGGAGGCAGCAGUAGGGAAUCUUCCGCAAUGGGCGAAAGCCUGACGGAGCAAGGCCGCGUGAGUGAUGAAGGUCUUCGGAUCGUAAAACUCUGUUAUUAGGGAAGCGGUACCUAAUCAGAAAGCCACGGCUAACUACGUGCCAGCAGCCGCGGUAAUAC
rnacentral:rRNA from 1 species